UACGUAGGGCGCGAGCGUUGUCCGGAAUUAUUGGGCGUAAAGAGCUCGUAGGCGGCCUGUUGCGUCCGCUGUGAAAUCCCGGGGCUCAACCCUGGACCUGCAGUGGGUACGGGCAGACUGGAGUGCGGUAGGGGAGAUCGGAAUUCCUGGUGUAGCGGUGAAAUGCGCAGAUAUCAGGAGGAACACCGGUGGCGAAGGCGGAUCUCUGGGCCGUAACUGACGCUGAGGAGCGAAAGCAUGGGGAGCGAACAGG
rnacentral:rRNA from 1 species